UACGUAGGGUCCGAGCGUUGUCCGGAAUUAUUGGGCGUAAAGGGCUCGUAGGCGGUUCGUCACGUCGGGUGUGAAAACUCGGAGCUUAACUCCGAGCCUGCUUCCGAUACGGGCAGACUAGAGGUGGGCAGGGGAGAGCGGAACUCCUGGUGUAGCGGUGGAAUGCGCAGAUAUCAGGAAGAACACCGGUGGCGAAGGCGCGCAUCUGGCCCAAUACUGACGCUGAGGCGCGAAAGCUAGGGGAGCAAACGGG
rnacentral:rRNA from 1 species